rnacentral:rRNA from 1 species
GAGUUUGAUCCUGGCUCAGAUUGAACGCUGGCGGCAUGCCUUACACAUGCAAGUCGAACGGCAGCAUGAUCUAGCUUGCUAGAUUGAUGGCGAGUGGCGAACGGGUGAGUAAUACAUCGGAACGUGCCCUGUAGUGGGGGAUAACUAGUCGAAAGAUUAGCUAAUACCGCAUACGACCUGAGGGUGAAAGUGGGGGACCGCAAGGCCUCAUGCUAUAGGAGCGGCCGAUGUCUGAUUAGCUAGUUGGUGGGGUAAAGGGCCCACCAAGGCGACGAUCAGUAGCUGGUCUGAGAGGACGAUCAGCCACACUGGGACUGAGACACGGCCCAGACUCCUACGGGAGGCAGCAGUGGGGAAUUUUGGACAAUGGGCGAAAGCCUGAUCCAGCAAUGCCGCGUGUGUGAAGAAGGCCUCGGUGUAAG